rnacentral:rRNA from 1 species
AGCGAACGCUGGCGGCAGGCUUAACACAUGCAAGUCGAACGGGCUUCUUCGGACGUCAGUGGCAGACGGGUGCGUAACACGUGGGAACGUGCCCUUCGGUUCGGAAUAACUCAGGGAAACUUGAGCUAAUACCGGAUACGCCCUUUUGGGGAAAGGUUUACUGCCGAAGGAUCGGCCCGCGUCUGAUUAGCUUGUUGGUGGGGUAACGGCCUACCAAGGCGACGAUCAGUAGCUGGUCUGAGAGGAUGAUCAGCCACACUGGGACUGAGACACGGCCCAGACUCCUACGGGAGGCAGCAGUGGGGAAUAUUGGACAAUGGGCGCAAGCCUGAUCCAGCCAUGCCGCGUGAGUGAUGAAGGCCUUAGGGUUGUAAAGCUCUUUUGUCCGGGACGAUAAUGACGGUACCGGAAGAAUAAGCCCCGGCUAACUUCGUG